UACGUAGGGACCAAGCGUUGUCCGGAUUUAUUGGGCGUAAAGAGCUCGUAGGCGGUUCAGUAAGUCGGGUGUGAAACCCCCGGGCUCAACCCGGGGACGCCACCUGAUACUGCUGUGACUGGAGUCCGGUAGGGGAGCGUGGAAUUCCUGGUGUAGCGGUGAAAUGCGCAGAUAUCAGGAGGAACACCAGCGGCGAAGGCGGCGCUCUGGACCGGUACUGACGCUGAGGAGCGAAAGCGUGGGGAGCGAACAGG
rnacentral:rRNA from 1 species